UUUAUAUAUAUUUCAGUGACGUUUUGUGGUUGCUUAACCAUUGCAAAUUUAUUACAAACGUAGACGCGGCACCAAAAAGUUCCAUCGGAUAUGGAUUUUGCGUUUUCACGUUAGAGGCACUGACUGUCGUGGAGAAAAACAUCCAAGAUACCUUUUCAGAAAACGGGAACCACCCUUUGGUAAAGCUCGUAGCUAACGAAAAGCUGAAAUCAGCUUACAAGAAGAACAAAAGACUAGUUUCAUCGUAUACAGAAUCCGUCCUCGUCAAGGAAGCGUGUUCAGUGAUCAUGCAAGAGGUAAAGAGUAUGGUCUUUGAUUAUUUUUUGUAACAAGUAUUAUCUUACAAUAAUAUAUACGUUUUCAAAACAUGAUUUUAUUUAUAAGAGUGCGUAACAUUUUGUUCAUUUUGUGCACAACCACAUUUUAUUCACGAAAGUAUAAACUUGCGCUGUGUUUGUGUAAAUUUAAUUCGUCAAAUGUAAAUAUUUUAAAUGUUAAUGGGAAGAACAAAGUCUUAAAAUGUACAAUAUCUCCAUAUAACAUGCCUGUUAGACUGUCAAUAGACAUAGAAUCCCGUUUUAUUUUUUACGCGGUUUUUUUAAAGGCGAGUCCGAACAAUAUAAAUAGUAAAGGAAAAAAUUUAAAGUUAUAUAAUUAAUUGAAAAAAGUAUAUCGGUUUCGAAUGUCAUACAAUAAUUAUUUUCUUCUUUGGUGUCAAAGUAAACUACAUAUUCGUACAGAAAAUAUUUCACAGUACAUGUAUGUAAAAUUUGUUAAAUAUUCUCAUAAUCGUUUGUUUCAUAUCAUAAAACUGCACGCGACUGGAUGUAGUUAUAAAGAGGCCACAGAGGCUCUGCAACGAACGGUGGCCAAAAGUAUUUUCAUAGCAUAUAGCCUGGCAACAACUCACCGCUCGAGCAUAAAAGAAUAUUGAUCAAGCGCCCUAGCAGAUAGACGUAAAGCCUGGUGAACACAAAGACGCUAACAUCCUGCAGAAAAGUUCAACAUGGCUGACAACACCGUACGGUCGGAAGAUGUGUAAGGACAAAAGUGGGAUCGUUGCAUUACAGACACCGGUUUACUGUUAACUGUUGAGUUAUCGAUCCGGACAGAACUUAAGUGUGCAGUAUGAUGACAUUUAAGUUUUAUAGACUUUCAUGCAAUAGUUACUGUCACACAGCUCCGGACAUUGAAAGUGGAAGGACGGAGAACCACACAGAAACAAUAUCGGCGAAUGAUGAUGUAUAUUUGUUUUAAGUUUCGUGAAAUAGGUACUGUAAAAUAGCUCCGGACGUACAACCUUCCUGAAUUUCAAUCUAUUAAGGGGCAAUAAAUUAAUAACGCGUGCACCGCAGUAUGAUUGAACACAUUCAUAUUAAGUUUAAUGAAAUUUAAUAAAUAAUUAUUGAUAAACACCUCCGGACAUCGCCAAAAUAAUAUUCCUUCACUGUCUUAGAAGGGUAAAAAGCCAUCAUAAUGGAGGUGUCAUUUUGUCUACUUACAAGAGUUGGCGCAUUCGGAUUAAAUGCGUAUUCUACAUGCAAUAAUAAAUGCAUGCAAAAAUAAAUAUCUUUCUUGCAACAAGCGUAAAUCUACUGCAAAUCUUAGCAAAACAUUUGCAAACG